GAGGUUGUGGCUCAGUGGUAGAGCGCUCACCUAGCAUGUGCGAGACCAUGGGUUCUAUCCUCAGCACCACA
rnacentral:tRNA from 1 species